rnacentral:rRNA from 1 species
UAAGACAGAGGGUGCAAACGUUGUUCGGAAUUACUGGGCGUAAAGCGCGUGUAGGCGGCUUGGCAAGUCGGGUGUGAAAGCCCUGGGCUCAACCUAGGAAGUGCACUCGAAACUGCUUCGCUUGAGUGUCGGAGAGGAAAGCGGAAUUCUCGGUGUAGAGGUGAAAUUCGUAGAUAUCGAGAGGAACACCGGUGGCGAAGGCGGCUUUCUGGACGAUCACUGACGCUGAGACGCGAAAGCGUGGGGAGCAAACAGG